CUACGGGUCGCUGCAGUCGAGGAAAUUUUACAAUGCUCGGAAGAGUGAUAGAAUGAGUCAGAGUGUUUCUCUUAGAGAAACUUUUAUCUGUUGUAAAAAGACAGAUGAAUAAGGACUGGGAAAGACCGGUGCCAGCCGCCGCGGUAAUACCGGCAGUCCAAGUCGCAUCCACAUUUAUUGGGUCUAAAACAUUCGUAGCUUGUUUUGUAAGUCUCUUGUGAAAUCUUAUAUCUCAAGUAUAAGUCGUGCAAGAGAUACUACAUUACUAGAGACCGGAAGACGUGAGGAGUAUGAUUGAGGUAGCGGUAAAAUGCGUUAAUCUUAAUCAGACUAACAAUAGCGAAGGCACCUUACGAGUACGGAUCUGACAGUGAGGAAUGAAGGCUAGGGGCGCAAAAGGGAUUAGAUACCCGAGUAGUC
rnacentral:rRNA from 1 species